AGCGGAAACUGUGUACACUGGUACAUCUGUUUUGUAAACAGUCUGACAUUAAUAUUAAGUGAUCUUCCUCACACCAAAGACAAGACUAAAGUUAUUUUGUUGACGCCUCGGGAAAUCUUUCUUAAAACCGCAUGACGAAUCUAACUUUAUCAAUUGUCAGGCUGAACACUCUGUAACGACGUGUAAAUAAGACUGCACUAUUGUUUAUGAGCGCAUAUACAAUAUGUUACAUAUCGAGGGGAAACAUGAGUUAAAAGAGCGCCCCUUAUAAAUAUUUACCGUGGUAACCAUAGUUUCUACCGACAUACCAUAAUUACUGCAGUUACUGUUACUACAAUAAAACUGAGGUAACUUGGUAUUUGGUGACAGUGCCAUCAAUAAAAUAAAUCAAGCUUCUUGAACUGUUCAAAAGAUAAUUUGUAAUGAUUAAUUAUGGUUUUGCAGCAGUAACUAGGGUAUUUUGGCGGAAACUAGGGUUACCAUGGUAAAUGUUUUUGCAAAGGAUUUCCUGUUGUUGUGAGGAUCUGCCAUUAGAUUGAAUCUAGACGGGACUCAAGCUCGUGCCACGUUACGCUACGGUGCGUUAGCCUCAAAUGUGUUCCCUGUCAUUUCUCGGUAAAGUGCUGUCCUUCCAUGGAUUCACUCAAGUAUUUGAGCUGAAGUAAAAUAAUCGCAAGGAACACAGUUGUCGGUAUCUGUAGUAGAUCUGCAGGGUCUAAAUCUCAGAAAGAGAGGAAUAGUGCUAUUUUAGUCCAAUACAGCGUAACUGCAUUAUGCAGAGUGGAGCCUUUUUUCUCGCUCGCAAAUAAAAUAAUGGGAGAGAAAUGAGAAGGAAAACAAAAGCGCAGCGAAUUCUUGACUACGAGAAUGAAGAGGAUGAGGAAGAGGAACAAAAACCGGACUGCUUCAGUAACGGUGCACAGAAACGAAGAAAAAUGUAUUCCUCCAAAGAGAAAGCAGAAGAAAAUAGCUCAUCCGAAGCCGGGCUUCAGAAGUUAGACAUCAAGGUUAAUGAGCUGGAUUGUUCUUCCGCAGACCUCUACACUGACAGUCCUCCUGCUUCUGAGUCUGAGGAGGCUCAUUAUUUACAGUCCUAUUCGAAGAAGGAGCUCAUUGCCAUGGUCUUAUGUAUGCAGAGGGAAAUGGAGGACUUGAAGGAACAACUUAGGUGCCUUACAGCAUGUGGAAAGCUAGCAAGAAACCUGGAAAUGCUGAUCGAGAAGACCCAGAUGUGGUCAAAUGGGAACAAUGGGACCUCUCCCGGGACCCCAGAUUCUCAAGGCACGGUGCAGGCACCUGCAGAGGCAGAUGCUUUGAAACCAGUUGUGCAUUCUCCUCCGGCCAUUGUGAAUGGGCAAUGGCUGAAUCAGGGUGCAGGACCACAGAAACCUCACGAGGCCACUCAGAAUGCUCAAAGGGACGGGCUCUUCACAGAGUUUAUCACUCCUGAACUUUUGGAGAGGUGUAACACAGGCACCACUGCCCAAAAACUGACCAACGACCUGCUCCGUGGACUCUACGAGAGGGAAUGCCUGGCUUCCCACUCUAUAUCUGGAGUCGUGUACAACAAGAGAGGCCAACCAAAGCCUGCUCUCCCCACCGAAGAGGUCCAGGCAAUCCUGAGAACCGUUCAGUAUUUCUUUCCUGGCAAGACUGACGCAGAGAUCAAGGGCUACAUCCGACAGAAACUGCAAAACGAAGCCAAGAGGCUGAGGAAGAAACCGUCUCUCUCAGGCCAAUAUGAGUCUAGAGGUUUCAAUGUACCUUUAGAUAUGAUCGACCAGAAUUGA
ensembl:lncRNA